rnacentral:rRNA from 1 species
UGGUUGAUCCUGCCAGUAGUCAUAUGCUUGUCUCAAAGAUUAAGCCAUGCAUGUCUCAGUACAAGCCACAUUAAGGUGAAACCGCGAAAGGCUCAUUAAAUCAGUUAUGGUUCCUUAGAUCGUACCCACAUUUACUUGGAUAACUGUGGUAAUUCUAGAGCUAAUACAUGCAAACAGAGUUCCGACCGGAGACGGGAGGAAUGCUUUUAUUAGAUCAAAACCAAUCGGCGGCGGUCGCGUUCGCGCGGCCGUUCGCCGCUCAACCUGGUGACUCUGAAUAACUUUCCGCUGAUCGCACGGUCUCGCACCGGCGACGCAUCUUUCAAAUGUCUGCCUUAUCAACUGUCGAUGGUAGGUUCUGCGCCUACCAUGGUCGUAACGGGUAACGGGGAAUCAGGGUUCGAUUCCGGAGAGGGAGCCUGAGAAACGGCUACCACAUCCAAGGAAGGCAGCAGGCGCGCAAAUUACCCACUCCCGGCACGGGGAGGUAGUGACGAAAAAUAACGAUACGGGACUCAUCCGAGGCCCCGUAAUCGGAAUGAGUACACUUUAAAUCCUUUAACGAGGAUCAAUUGGAGGGCAAGUCUGGUGCCAGCAGCCGCGGUAAUUCCAGCUCCAAUAGCGUAUAUUAAAGUUGUUGCGGUUAAAAAGCUCGUAGUUGAAUCUGUGUCUCGCGCUGUCGGUUCACCGCCCGCGGUGUUAAACUGGCACGCCCGCGAGACGUCCUGCCGGUGGGAUCGUCGCGUGGUUUGCUUCGGCGUUCUGCGCGCGUCCCGACUUGAAAUCCUACCGCGGUGCUCUUGACUGAGUGUCGAGGUGGGCCGGCACGUUUACUUUGAACAAAUUAGAGUGCUCAAAGCAGGCUAAAACUUCGCCUGAAUACUGUGUGCAUGGAAUAAUGGAACAGGACCUCGGUUCUAUUUUGUUGGUUUUCGGAACCCCGAGGUAAUGAUUAAUAGGGACAGAUGGGGGCAUUCGUAUUGCGACGUUAGAGGUGAAAUUCUUGGAUCGUCGCAAGACGGACAGAAGCGAAAGCAUUUGCCAAAAAUGUUUUCAUUAAUCAAGAACGAAAGUCAGAGGCUCGAAGGCGAUCAGAUACCGCCCUAGUUCUGACCAUAAACGAUGCCAGCUAGCGAUCCGCCGACGUUCCUCCGAUGACUCGGCGGGCAGCUUCCGGGAAACCAAAGCUUUUGGGUUCCGGGGGAAGUAUGGUUGCAAAGCUGAAACUUAAAGGAAUUGACGGAAGGGCACCACCAGGAGUGGAGCCUGCGGCUUAAUUUGACUCAACACGGGAAACCUCACCAGGCCCGGACACCGGAAGGAUUGACAGAUUGAGAGCUCUUUCUUGAUUCGGUGGGUGGUGGUGCAUGGCCGUUCUUAGUUGGUGGAGCGAUUUGUCUGGUUAAUUCCGAUAACGAACGAGACUCUAGCCUGCU